UACAGAGGGUGCGAGCGUUGUUCGGAAUUACUGGGCGUAAAGGGUGCGUAGGCGGCGCGGUAAGUCGGGUGUGAAAUCUCGGAGCUUAACUCCGAAACUGCAUUCGAUACUGCCGUGCUUGAGGACUGGAGAGGAGACUGGAAUUUACGGUGUAGCGGUGAAAUGCGUAGAUAUCGUAAGGAAGACCAGUGGCGAAGGCGGGUCUCUGGACAGUUCCUGACGCUGAGGCACGAAGGCCAGGGGAGCAAACGGG
rnacentral:rRNA from 1 species